rnacentral:rRNA from 1 species
AGUGAACGCUGGCGGUAGGCCUAACACAUGCAAGUCGAACGGCAGCACAGUAAGAGCUUGCUCUUACGGGUGGCGAGUGGCGGACGGGUGAGGAAUGCAUCGGAAUCUACUUUUUCGUGGGGGAUAACGUAGGGAAACUUACGCUAAUACCGCAUACGACCUACGGGUGAAAGCAGGGGAUCUUCGGACCUUGCGCGAUUGAAUGAGCCGAUGUCGGAUUAGCUAGUUGGCGGGGUAAAGGCCCACCAAGGCGACGAUCCGUAGCUGGUCUGAGAGGAUGAUCAGCCACACUGGAACUGAGACACGGUCCAGACUCCUACGGGAGGCAGCAGUGGGGAAUAUUGGACAAUGGGUGCAAGCCUGAUCCAGCCAUACCGCGUGGGUGAAGAAGGCCUUCGGGUUGUAAAGCCCUUUUGUUGGGAAAGAAAAGCAGCAGGUUAAUACCCCGCUGUUCUGACGGUACCCAAAGAAUAAGCACCGGCUAACUUCGUG